UCGUCAGUGAGGUAUAUCCUUACCUGUUCCUCCUCCGGGAGAACAGCACAUGAUGAAUGGAGGUGCAUGAGACAUGAUUAAAGUCUCCCUGGCCCAGGAGCAGCAACACCUGGGCUGGCUCCUUUCUGAU